rnacentral:rRNA from 1 species
AUUGAACGCUGGCGGCAUGCCUUACACAUGCAAGUCGAACGGCAGCACGGGGCAACCUGGUGGCGAGUGGCGAACGGGUGAGUAAUGCAUCGGAACGUACCUUUCAGUGGGGGAUAACGUAGCGAAAGUUACGCUAAUACCGCAUAUUCUGUGAGCAGGAAAGCAGGGGAUCGCAAGACCUUGCGCUGAUUGAGCGGCCGGUGUCAGAUUAGCUAGUUGGUGAGGUAAAGGCUCACCAAGGCGACGAUCUGUCUCGGGUCUGAGAGGACGAUCGGCGACACUGGACCUGAGAGGUGGUCCAGGCUCCUAAGGGAGGCAGCAGUUGGGAAUUUUGGACAAUAGGGGCAACCCUGAUCCGGCCAUGCUGCGUGAGUGAAGAAGGCCUUCGGGUUGUAAAGCUCUUUCGGCCGGGAAGAAGUCGCACGGGCUAAUACCCUGUGUGGAUGACGGUACCGGAAUAAGAAGCACCGGCUAACUACGUGCCAGCAGCCGCGGUAACAC